rnacentral:rRNA from 1 species
AUCUACCCUUUGGCCUGGAAUAACACGAGGAAACUUGUGCUAAUACCGGAUAAGUCUUUACGGAGAAAGCUUUAUGCACCAUUGGAUGAGCCUGCACUUGAUUAGUUUGUUGGUGGGGUAAUGGCCUACCAAGACUGUGAUCAAUAGCUGAUUUGAGAGGAUGAUCAGCCACAUUGGGACUGAGACACGGCCCAAACUCCUACGGGAGGCAGCAGUGGGGAAUCUUGCACAAUGGAGGAAACUCUGAUGCAGCGAUGCCGCGUGAGUGAAGAAGGCCCUUGGGUUGUAAAGCUCUUUCGUCGGGGAAGAAAAUGACUGUACCCGAAUAAGAAGGUCCGGCUAACUUCGUGCCAGCAGCCGCGGUAAUACGAAGGGACCUAGCGUAGUUCGGAAUUACUGGGCUUAAAGAGUUCGUAGGUGGUUGAAAAAGUUGGUGGUGAAAUCCCAGAGCUUAACUCUGGAACUGCCAUCAAAACUUUUCAGCUAGAGUAUGAUAGAGGGAAGCAGAAUUUCUAGUGUAGAGGUGAAAUUCGUAGAUAUUAGAAAGAAUA